rnacentral:misc_RNA from 1 species
GAUGAAGAACGUAGCGAAAUGCGAUAAGUAAUGUGAAUUGCAGAAUUCAGUGAAUCAUCGAAUCUUUGAACGCACAUUGCGCCCCUUGGUAUUCCGAGGGGCAUGCCUGUUCGAGCGUCAUUAUAACCCCUCAAGCUCAGCUUGGUGUUGGGGCCUGCUGCACUGGCAGCCCUUAAAAUCAGUGGCGGCGCCAUCUGGCUCUAAGCGUAGUAAUUCUUCUCGCUAUGGAGUCCUGGUGGAUACUUGCCAUCAACCCCCAAUUUUUCUAUGGUUGACCUCGGAUCAGGUAGGGAUACCCGCUGAACUUAAGCAUAUCAAUAAGCGGAGGA